GUGCCAGCGCCGCGGUAAUACGAGGACCCCAAGCGUUAUCCGGAUUUAUUGGGCGUAAAGCGCACGCAGACGGCCAAAUGCGUCUGUUGUUAAAUCUCAGGGCUUAACUCUGAGGCUGCAAUGGAUACGGUUUGGCUAGAGGAUGCUAGAGGUUACUGGAACUCACGGUGUAGGGGUGAAAUCCGUUGAUAUCGUGGGGAACACCAAAGGCGAAGGCAUGUAACUGGGGCAUUCCUGACGUUCAGGUGCGAAAGCGUGGGGAGCGAAGAGGAUUAGAUACCCUCGUAGUCCACGCCGUAAAUGAUGUUCACUAGCUGUUUCGAGUAUCGACCCUCGGAGUGGCGAAGCUAACGCGUUAAGUGAACCGCCUGGGAAGUACGGCCGCAAGGCUAAAACUCAAAGGAAUAGACGGGGACUCGCACAAGCGGUGGAUCAUGUGGUUUAAUUCGAUGAUAAACGAAGAACCUUACCAGGGCUUGAAAUCUAGACGAAUUAUUUCCGAAAGGAAAUAAGUCUUCGGACGGCUAGACAGGCGCUGCAUGGUUGUCGUCAGCUCGUGGCGUGAGCUGUUCCCUUAAGUGGG
rnacentral:rRNA from 1 species